GUCAUCUGAAACAGACUUUUAGACACUGGAUCAAACAAAAUGCCAAAACAAUGACAACGCAGCACCAAAAAAAAAAAAAAAUGCAAAAACUCAGUAGUAGAAAAUCUACUAGGUUAUUUUUCUAAUGCCCCUUUUCCACCGGUGUUCUGUUGAUCUGUGCUACCCGUAAAUCCGUCCUACCUGGUGGUAAUGCGCAUAUCGAUGCUACGUCACAUACUGCUUACUCAGCAGAUUUCUUAUAAAUACCUCCAACCUGCGGAGAU